GCUGUCCCGAUUGCAUUACGUGCCACGUUACGAGCAAUUCUGGACAGACUUCCACCAAUCUCCAUCCUAAUUAAAUAUGCCUCCUCGGCUGUCCUCUCUUCCGAAAUUGCGCAGUACAUGAGUUCAUUUGUCUUCUAAAUUUCAUCAUUAUUUGACAGUGCCCUCUCCGUUGAUAAUAUUGCUCUUUGUUUGAUCGUUUUUCAAGUGAUCUGCUCGCAUUCCUUCUAACUACCUGAUUGCUGCAAAUCUGUUUGUUUAGUUUGUUGUUGAUCUUUCUCAAGUUUUCCUUCAAGCCUCUGCUCGAGCUUAUUAGGAUCGGAUGAACAACGCACUCAGUUUUAUAUCGCCGACUUUAAAGGUAGAAGCUCUCAGCUGUCACUCAAGGGAUCUGUUGCAUUACAUUGUUUUGUUAAUUGUAAUUUAAACAUAUUUAUUACAUCAAGAUGAACUUUGAAGUUUGCUUUCCUGCGAAUUCAGAUUAUGAUUGGUGGGGAUUGUAAGAGAUGGUAAUGGUAUUGUCAUGUGGAAUUUAAUAUCUGGCCUUCUGUGUUUCCAUACAAGCUGUAAGUGCUGCCAUUUAGUUCCAUCAACUUUACUUUAGGUGUUAAAGAUGCCUUUUCAUUCAUGCAGGAUUUUUCAUCUACUCUAGUUAGGUAUGGCAUUUGGACAAAGCCUGUCUUUAAUUUCUUCCACGAACAUAAAGGGUUUUGUCUUUCUCUUCAUUGAUCAGUGUUGAUAUUCUAUGCUCAAGAAAGGCAGAGGAUACAACAGCAAGAAGAAGAAAUCUGGCAAGAAGCAGGAGGGAGCUUUCGAGUA